GACCGCGGCGACGCUCUUGGACCACACAAAUAUAUGUGCGGCCCCCGACGCGGCUGCAGCUUAUCCACAGACGCACUGCAGCCUGUGGUUUUGUCCCCGAGUUUGCCGUUCACUCAUGCUUGUCACACGCUCUCUUGUCGAAAAUAGGGAUUGCGAGUUAUGACGUUUUGGCGUUUUCCCUUUCCCGUAUCAGCAUCAGCUUUACGAUUGUUUUGUUUGAAAAGGAAUAUGCUGUAUUGGUUUCAUCGAUGGGGUGAUCGAGCCGGUGAUCGAUCGUCAUCUUUCGGCCGUUGCCGAGUGAUUGAAAAACUCGUGCUCAAGUGUUAAGAGGUUGGAGGUAACGAGGGUUUGUGUAUAUUUUAGCGGGCCAAGAGUUUGGUUAAAGAAUUGGUGUUAUUAAGUGUUGUGAUCAGAAAACUUCGUGGAUCUCGAGUUUUCGUUUGCUUGUGGGAGCUACAUGCUUCUGAUAGCCUUGCUGUCUGCGUUUGGACCCAGCUGGGUGAUUUAGAAGCGCUGUGUCAGCGAUAGUAGUUAUAAUCAUCGAAAAGUCGGCAACCUCUGCAAUUGGACUUUAUUAGAGUGUACAUCGAUCCGUGGGGGAGCGAUUAGAAUUGAUUUCGAUUUUGAACACUAAUAUCAACUGGUACUAACUGGAACAUUUCCCUAUAGCUAUAUGUAAUGCUAGGGUAGUAUAACCGUCCAGAUUAGGGACAAUAUCAAUGUUGGCACCGACGUAUGAUUCCUUUGACCACGGAUGUCUCAACAAAAGCAUUCUGUGUUACAGCCAGAAAAAGGACUUUCAGCAACAUAACGUGAGGUUUUACUCCUAACAAACAUGCCCUUCGUGUUCACAAUUUCUAACUCGUGACUUAUUCCUCAUUCUUCACAACUUCCUGCAUCAAAAUUAAGAAGCUUUGCUGUACUAAGUCCCUGCCAAUGACACAACCCUUUUCCCCCAGGGGACAUCCAAGUCUUUUAAGCUUCAAUCCGCUUUUCAGUCUCAAGCUUUUUCCAGGUAUCAUAGCAAGCUCCACUUUGUUGAAGGCGACCAAAGUUUAGAAGCCGGGUUGAAUUGGCCUCAAGAACCCCUCACCAUCGUCUCUCCUGUAGCCACACAUUCCCACUAUGCCCAGCGCGUUUCAGCCAGAGCCCCUUCAAACUCGGUUGGAGUUUUUUCAACUUUAUUUCAUGCGCUAUUGACAGGGGGUUGCUUCUUCUCCAUUUCCAUGCUGCAACGGAUGUCAAUAUUGGAGGCGGGAUACAGCUUCGUGUCGGUGCUAGGUCCAAUUCAAAAGGCGUAGGAAUAGAAUGGCCAAUCCCUUCUCCAAUUAGUAAGGUGAGUAUAUAAUCUCCACAUGGGCUACAAAUUCUGUUGUUGGUCAAUACUCUAAGCUGUAACUUCCACAGGAUCAUUGAUAUCACAUAUGCACAUUUACACAUGUAUUUUAAUUGCUGGUUUCCCGGCUUAGCUAUUGAAGAUGAAGUAUCAGUAGUAAAUUGCACAUGAGGAUAUCGACUGCUGAGAGACUACAAGAGACGUUCCAACGGCAUACUGGCGCUCAGCUAGAUAUUUCGAAUUAGAAUUAAAUAUGUGACCAAGCUCCCGCCUAGAAUAACCAUCUUUUAAUAUUGUAGUCUGUUGCUAAGCUCUCGCUUUCGUCCUUGUUGAGGACAACCUGCCAGUACAGUCACAGGGCGUCAAGUGGGCGUAGAAUUGAUUAGUAUACUAUUAAGUAGCUCUAGGCUGAUUCAAGCUGGGAUUCUGUAUUGACGGCUCUCGUGUUUUCUGUUAAGUAAAAGCUCGGAUACCUAAUUGGCGUGCAUCGUAAGACAUUGGCAGGAUAUAUACUAGUGUCAGGUCUUGUAUUUGGUAUCUAUAUCAGCUAAAUCAGUGUUCCUUACAAAGAAGUACAGAAAAUCUUCAGAGAUACCAUGACCCGCUGGCCCAGCGUACCUCUACCAAGAUUAAGUGUCGUCAAACCAUUUACAGGACUAAUGCAGUGAAGACCGCGCUAUCUGACUCGUUACUCGACCCAUUUCAUAAUGGAUUCGACACCUCGGUUGUUGGUCGAGAAUUUGAAAAGUCAUCACUGGUUACCAUUUGUAGCCGCCACAAACCAUGACUCGUCAUGCGUUGGCACUAGUUAUUGAGAGUUUUCAAAGCACAACGACUGAUGAAGGUCGAACAACUUCUGUAGUAACACCAACAUGUAAAACAAUAUGCCAGUUACCUAGGUCCGAGAAAGAGGAUCCUCUUCUGUCACGAGCGACUGAAGAGUAAGUAUUGUUGGGGAGCUGCAGGCCUAUUGGUUCUGGCCGUUGUUGCCGUCAGAGCUCCACAUCCCCCCUGCUCCUAGGGCCGAAAAAGCGCUCUCAGCAAACCACAUUACGGAGAAUUGAGAAGAACAUGAAAUAAGUGAUGAGAUCGACUGAAUAUAUCUCGUUCAGAAUUUGAAUAGGCAAAACACGCCAAAAUUUGUGUC